UAGCUGCAAGGAAAACCCAGGAGCCAGGCCAAACCCCUGAGGUGGGCGGCCUGGGUUCAAUGGCAUCUCCAAGGCGUCCAGCCCCCGGCCUCAGCUCCCUGGUCUGUGUGGUCCAGGUGCAGGCUGCCCGGCCGAUGCGAGCAUUGGUGACAGUGCUGUACAGAGUGACGAGGCCUUGCUCGAUGACACGGUUGCUGCGUGACACACGCGAGGUAGAACAGGCGGCUGCUCUUAAUGCCGUGUGGUGUGCCUUGUCCACAGGGGCCAUGGGGGCUCCGAGGAGGAGGGCAGUGAGGGGCUCCUGCAAGCUGCUGUCCCAGUGCCUGCUCACUCUUCACUUCCUGGCUCCAUAGCAGGUCUAAAAAUCCUGGGGGGCUGGGGUGUAGCUCUGGGGUCCAGUGUGCCUCGCAUCCGCAGGGCCUGGGUUCCUCCCCACCAUCUCUGGGUCUCUGUCUCUGUCUCUCUGUCUCACACACACUAUCUCUCUGUCUUUCUGUCUCUGUCUGUCUCUCUCUCUCUCUCUCUCUCUCUCUCACACACACACACACACACACACUCACUCACACACAUACAUGUAGGCACUAUCUUUCAACCCCCAGGCCACUCCCCAACCCCUUCCUACCAUUGCAGGCCUGGGUCACAUUUGACCAAUGCUGAUGGCUUCCAGGCUUGUCCACUUUCUGUUGCUAUAACAACAAAUGCCUGAGACUGGGUGGUUUACAAAGGAAAGAGGCUCACCUAAGGAGCUGGGGGGCAGGAAGUCCAGAGCAGGGCACUGGCACCUGCUCAGCUUCCGCCAGGGCCAGGGCCCAGGACCUGGUGCUGGCAAGCAGAGGGCAGUGGGCUGGCCGGGAAGAGGCGGGACACUAGGGGCGGCCUUACCUUAUUGUGGCCGCCCUGGUGAGAACUAAUCCUGUCCCAGGGGAAGGAACCUACUGCUGCCAGCAAGGCCUUAAUCCUCUUAGUGACCUAAUCACCUCUUAGAGACCCGGCCACCCGGCACCAUUAUGCUGGGGGCCACAUUUCAGCACCAGUCUUGAGGGGGACAAACCAUGUUCAGACAAAGCAGGGCCCCUCCUGGGUUCCUUCCUCCCUCCCCCUCCUUCACCCAGCAACCUCUCAACUGUGCCUACGGCCUGGUCCCACUGCAGACCCUGGCCUCCAACUUGGUCCCUGGGCACAGUCUCUGUCCUGGGUCUCAACCUGCAGGGCUGCUGGACAGGACCACUUCCAGGUCCCCGGAGUGGCUCAAAUGCCACCUGUUCACUCUCCGCCUUGCCUCCCUCCCACUCACCAGGUGUUCCGGCCCCCACCCGGGAGCGUGCCUUGAUUUUUUUCUCUUUUUAGGUUGAACAUUUGUUUUUGAGAGUGCAACGGAGCAUGUUCACAAGGUCACGCAACCAGCACCUCCGUCCAACCCCAGGAGGUCCGCAUUGACCCAGGGAAACGCCACACUCAUCAGAAGUCACUCCGACCCUCCCCACAGUCAGUGGCAGUGGCCUUCUGUCCCCACCACCCUGCUGGUUUUGGACGUUUCAGAUCAACAGACGCACACCGUGGUUUUUGUGUCUGGCUUUAGGUUUUCAAGUUCCUCGGGCCGUAGCCCGGGUCUGCAUGUUUUUCCUUUAUGGCCCAAUAAUACUCCCCUGUGUGGGUGUGUCCCAUUUGGUCUACCUGCUCUUAGCCGAUGGCAUUGGAGCUUCCCCUGGGGACUAUUAUAAACAGUGUCACUGUGAAUAUUUACAUGUGAGAUCUUAGCGGAUGUGUUUCUGCUUUUCUCGGGUACAAGCCUGGGAAUGAAAUCACGAGGCAUGGGGCAGCUCUGAGGUUUGAUAUUCUGAGAAGCCAUCAGUCUGUUUCCUCUCUCUUUUUUUUCUGUCUCCUGGGGAUCGGACCCAGGCACCUUCCCAUCUGUAAACAGGUGGCUUGCGCCUUCCUGGUUGGGCUCUGCAUGGAUCUGGACGCUCGAUGCUGGUCAGACACAGGAUCUGCCCACUCGGUUCCCGGUCUGAGUUGCCUUUUGACUUUCUUGAGGUGCCCUUUCGGAUCACACACCUUUUUAACGCUGAUGGAGCUCAGUGCCUCUGUUUCUUUCGCCACUUCAGUUUUUGUGCGGAAUCUAAAUCCUUUCUCAGUCCACAGUGGGGAAGAUUCACGCCAGUGUGUCCACAGAAGAGUCACCCCCACAUCUGGGCCCGAGACCCGCCUGGAGUUAACUGGUCUGUGGUGAGAAGGAGGGAGUCCGCCCUCCUCCUUCCCUUGUGACAUCAUUUUUCUUGUCAAUAUUUGUGCCGAUUCUCGUCCACUGCACUGCCUCGGCACCUCUUUGUUGAAGAUCAGCUGAUCAUAAAUGUGGGGAUCUACCUUGGGCUCUGCCCGUCGCUCUCUGCUUUUCCCAGUUCACCUCCUUGACUCUUCCUCCUCGUGCUGCAUCCAGCUGCUCCACAACAGAGAACUGGGUCUGUGUGGGGUUUGUGUGGCUCAUGGAGCCGUGGAGAUCAAGAGGGACACUGUCCUUGCCUCCGUGGACCUGACGUUCUUCCAGGAAUGGAUAGGCAAAGUGCAAGAGCAGACGCGUACUAAGAGGUGAUUUCAGGUAGUGCUUAGUGGGUGCGGGAAGACAAGACACUAUGUGACAGAGAGGGGCUGGUGGAGAAUUACAGGGCACUUCCACAGCGGAAUGCCAAGGAAGGCCACUCUGAGGAGCUAACAUUUGAGAAGGAGAAGUCAGCCACACAGAUCUGCCAGGCAGAGGGGCAGAAUAUGACUGAAGAUGAAACUGAUCCACUAAGGAGGGCAAACAGAGGCAUGCAGAACUGUCAAGACACAGCCUAGAUUAAACUGUGCCUGAAUUCCACCUUGGACUUUUUAGUCCUUGGGCCUUUGUUUCUCUUAUUGCUCAGCGGGUUAGAAUUGACUUUUCUGUUACAAACAGUAGUGUCCACACUGAAGUUCACGUUAGACCAUAAGCUGUGUCAAGGUUGGGGAAUAAUUGUCUGGUUCAACUUUGCAUGCACUCAGCUCUUGUAGGUCACAUUUUAAGAGGACCAGCUUUUUUUGUUUUUCUUAAACCACUGGAAGGCUUGGUGGUAUUGUGCCCGGCAGCCAGGACGGAACUGAAUCAGGGUCCCACUUUGGGUGUGGAGGCUGCUCUGAAGAGGAACUGACCCACGAGGAAGGCAGAACAGAGAGGACCACUUUUUCCAGGAAAAUUUUUCUUAGAGCCUGUGUGUCGGGUUCAUUUACUUACAUGCCUGUCCCGCGUGUGAGCCUGUGAGAUGCCCUGGACCAUCACACGCCCAGUGCCAGGAACACAGAAAUGAAGGACUGAGUCCACAGAUGAAUGUGUUGCCUAUUAAUUCUCUCUCUUUUUGAGGUACUAGGGAUUGAAUAUGCACCCUCAUGCAUGGUAAGGAAGUGCUCUGCCCCAGACCUUGAAAACUUUUCUAAAUUUUGAAAGGGUCUUGCUAAGUUGAGGCUGGACUUGAACUUGCGAUCCUCCUCCUGCCUCAGCCUCCGGGGUAGCUGGGGUUACAGGCAAGCGCCACCACGCGUGGCCACAGUGUUUAUUGCUAGCGUGCAGUUCUUUCCUGACUUCCUUCCUUCCUCCCUCCCUCUCUUGUCCCCUCCCUCCUUCCUCCUCUCUCUCUUCUCUUUCUCUUCUGCCUUAGCUGGGCAAAUUGACAGCAAGGUGCUCCAAAGCAGGGUUCUCUUUAAAGUCAAUUCCAGAGACUUGAGAGGCUGCGGCAGGAGGAUCACAAGUUUGAGGCCAGCAUUGACAACUCAGCGAGGCCCUAAGCAAGACCCUGUCUCAAAAUUUAAAAAGUAAAAUAAAAUAAAAAGGGCUGAGGAUAUAGCUCAGUGGGAAAGCACCCCUGGGUUCCAUCCCCAGGACCAUUCCUCCCAAACAAAAAACUGACUGGGGAUUUGGCUCAAUUGGUAGAGUGCUUGCCUCACAUGCACAAGGCAUGUUCAGUCCAGUAGAGGGCGCCCACAACAACCAGUAGAAAGAACAAGGGACGGUAGGGCAGGAAGCAGGCUUCCCAGUUGUCCACUGGUCACAGUGCUCUUCCAGGGAGGCUGACCUGCCCAGAUACAGGGGGUGUCAAAUUCAUGAUGCCAGCCCCUUCCUUCUGGUGGCAACUUAAUAUUCUUAAUAGAUAAUGCAUUCACAAGGUUUCAAAUAAAAUAAAAAGAUAAAUAGUAACAUUUCCGCCCCCUCCGUGGGCUUUUUGCUUUACCUCCUCAGCAAGUUCCAUUGUGAUUGUUCUCUUGAGUGCUUUUUGAGAAGGUUUAAUGCACAUAUCAACAGGUAUGAAUGUCUAUUUACCCGUGCUCCAUUUUAUCCCAAAGUAGCAGUGUUCUGAACACGCUGUUCUGUACCUGGCAUGGUUUAUGUGCCAGAUCUUGUGGAACAUUCCAUAUUGGCAUAUGGAGAGGGUCCUUGUUUUUUUUUCACAGCUGCAUACUCCUCGUGUUGCACCACUCUCACCAUCUACUCACCCGUCCACCAAUGAUGGGCAGUUGGGCUAUUCCUGUCCUCUGCUGUUAGAAAUGAACCAAUACAAAACCUUGAGUAUAUAUUUUUAAAAAUAUUUAUUUUUUAGUUGUAGUUAGACACAAAUACUUUUAUUUUAUUUGUUUUUAGGCGGUGCUGAGGAUCAAACCCAGGGCUUCGGGCGUGCUACGUGAGCACGCUACCCCUGAGCCACAACUCCAGCCCCUUGAAUAUAUUUUACAUCCGUGCAAAGGUAUCUAUAGCAGUGACUCUCAGCUUCAAGUGUGCGUGAGAAUCACCCAUGGGGUUUUCAGAAGUUCCACCACCCAGGGCGUAGCUCAGACCCAUCAUCAGAAGCUCUGAGCUCGAGACCAGAGCAUCCUGGGGAUCCCAGUGUCCAGCCAGGGCUGGGUAGCCUGACCCCCCAAGGCCAUAGAGAUUUAAAGAUGUACCAGAUAUUGCCAAAUGGCCUCCACCGGAGGAGGUUUGAGGGUGUGGGAGUUGUGUCAAUUCAUGCUCCUACCAGCAGGGUCCACCAGGGCCUGGGUCUUCACAGCCUCUCCUGCUAAUGAGACUAGCCAGAGUUUGGAUUUUGCCAACCUUCGUAUGGUUGAUUAUUAUUUUUAUAACUGGGGCUGGAGUUCAGGGCCUCACACAUGGAAGGCAAGGGCUUUGAACAUUUUUUUUUUUUUUUUUUUGGUGCUGGGGAUUGAAUCCAGGGCCUUGUGCAUGUGAGGCAAGCACUCUACCAAUUGAGCCAAAUCCCC
rnacentral:lncRNA from 1 species